AUUGAACGCUGGCGGCAGGCCUAACACAUGCAAGUCGAGCGAGCGGCGGACGUGUGAGUAAUGUAUGGGGACUGCCCGAUAGAGGGGGAUAACUACUGGAAACGGUGGCUAAUACCGCAUACUAUCGGAUAACCAAUCUGGGAUUAGCUAGUUGGUGGGGUAAAGGCUCACCUAGGCGACGAUCUCUAGCUGGUCUGAGCGGUUGAUCAGCCACACUGGGACUGGGACACGGCCCAGAGUCCUACGGAGGCAGCAGUGGGGAAUAUUGCACAAUGGGCGCAAGCCUGAUACAGCCAUGCCGCGUGAAUGAAGAAGGCCUUAGGGUUGUAAAGUACUUUCAGCGGGGAGGCGUUAACCACAGAAGAAGCACCGGCUAACUCCGUGCCAGCAGCCGCGGUAAUUC
rnacentral:rRNA from 1 species